GACGAACGCUGGCGGCGUGCUUAACACAUGCAAGUCGAACGGAAAGGCCCUGCUUUUGUGGGGUGCUCGAGUGGCGAACGGGUGAGUAACACGUGAGUAACCUGCCCUUGACUUUGGGAUAACUUCAGGAAACUGGGGCUAAUACCGGAUAGGAGCUCCUGCUGCAUGGUGGGGGUUGGAAAGUUUCGGCGGUUGGGGAUGGACUCGCGGCUUAUCAGCUUGUUGGUGGGGUAGUGGCUUACCAAGGCUUUGACGGGUAGCCGGCCUGAGAGGGUGACCGGCCACAUUGGGACUGAGAUACGGCCCAGACUCCUACGGGAGGCAGCAGUGGGGAAUAUUGCACAAUGGGCGGAAGCCUGAUGCAGCAACGCCGCGUGCGGGAUGACGGCCUUCGGGUUGUAAACCGCUUCCGCCUGUGACGAAGCGUGAGUGACGGUAAUGGGUAAAGAAGCACCGGCUAACUACGUGCCAGCAGCCGCGGUGAUACGUAGGGUGCGAGCGUUGUCCGGAUUUAUUGGGCGUAAAGGGCUCGUAGGUGGUUGAUCGCGUCGGAAGUGUAAUCUUGGGGCUUAACCCUGAGCGUGCUUUCGAUACGGGUUGACUUGAGGAAGGUAGGGAAGAAUGGAAUUCCUGGUGGAGCGGUGGAAUGCGCAGAUAUCAGGAGGAACACCAGUGGCGAAGGCGGUUCUCUGGGCCUUUCCUGACGCUGAGGAGCGAAAGCGUGGGGAGCGAACAGGCUUAGAUACCCUGGUAGUCCACGCUGUAAACGGUGGGUACUAGGUGUGGGGUCCAUUCCACGGGUUCCGUGCCGUAGCUAACGCUUUAAGUACCCCGCCUGGGGAGUACGGCCGCAAGGCUAAAACUCAAAGGAAUUGACGGGGCCCCGCACAAGCGGCGGAGCAUGCGGAUUAAUUCGAUGCAACGCGUAGAACCUUACCUGGGUUUGACAUGGAUCGGGAGUGCUCAGAGAUGGGUGUGCCUCUUUUGGGGUCGGUUCACAGGUGGUGCAUGGCUGUCGUCAGCUCGUGUCGUGAGAUGUUGGGUUAAGUCCCGCAACGAGCGCAACCCUUGUUCACUGUUGCCAGCACGUUAUGGUGGGGACUCAGUGGAGACCGCCGGGGUCAACUCGGAGGAAGGUGGGGAUGACGUCAAGUCAUCAUGCCCCUUAUGUCCAGGGCUUCACGCAUGCUACAAUGGCUGGUACAGAGAGUGGCGAGCCUGUGAGGGUGAGCGAAUCUCGGAAAGCCGGUCUCAGUUCGGAUUGGGGUCUGCAACUCGACCUCAUGAAGUCGGAGUCGCUAGUAAUCGCAAAUCAGCAACGCUGCGGUGAAUACGUUCCCGGGGCU
rnacentral:rRNA from 1 species